rnacentral:lncRNA from 1 species
UCAUGUGCCGUUUGUAGAAGAUUAGUGCAGGUAAUAUUCUCUAAAAUACCGGUUUUGGUUAAUUUGCUAGUAAAGGUUAUAAUGAGCAAUUAGGCCGGCUAGGUUCCUCAUUUCUGCAUGAGGGUCUAUUAAGCAUAGCUGUUGGGAAUAACUCAUAUUAGUGAUGAAUGGUUUCUUUUUCUGCUGAAACUUGUUAGCUGCCAAAUGUUGGGACCGUCACGAGAUAGCUUGGUGUUCAUUGCUAUUAUUGAUUAAGUAGUAAUUGGAACUUGUAAACCGGUUGCAAAAUGGUCCCGUGUGCAUUGAUUGGUUUACGCAAACCAGUCCUAUUAAGUGAGUACUGGUGACUGUUCAAUUUCUGCAUUGCAAUGAAUGAAAUUAUGCAGAUUGGUUAUUUUUUUUGAGCUGUUAGGUGCAGUUAGUUUACAACCAUUGGGAAUUGUUAAAACAACACUUGAACCUUGCCUUGCUAUAGAACCCAAUGCAAAUAUCAUCAUAUUGGUGUAAAGAUGUUUUAACACGGUUAACCUUAUUGAUCACGACAUUAUUCUCGUAGUUAGAAAAUGAGUUUCAAUUGUCAGCUUAAUGAUUGGUUUGGAUUUUCUUUGUUGCAUCCAUCCUGUUAAUUGUUUGGAAAUGUUAGGCUAGUGCAGAUUAUGUUAGGAGUUAAUAGAUUAAAUUAUUUGCUAGAUUUUGUAAUGUGUAACAUGAACUGAUGCUUGAAUUAUGCAGGAUCCUUGAUUUGAAAUGUGGGUUUGACGUGGAUGCUCUUUUGGCGCUGACUGAGUUUGCGGGUUAAUCCAUUUUUGAAUUUCCAUCACUCUGUUCAUGUUACAGGUGGUGUAUCAUGGAGCCAUGCUUGGACAUGUUUUGGAGUUCCUGAGCUGACGUGGAACGUUACGACACUUGUUGGUCAUGGUUGUCAUGUGAAGUUGCCGUCACAGACUUGUUUGUAUGUAUUGAUGCUUGGCGCAUUGUAUGUAAAUGGAUUUACAAUUUUUUCUUUAGAUUUUGGAUGUGCAACGGGAUUAAGGCAUUGUACUGUGACGUAUUUGCAAUGUUAGUCUGAAUGUUGGUUUUGUUAAAUGCUGCAUAUUGUGCACUUGGUUAUGUAUGAAAGUUUAUAAUUGCUUGUUAUAUACAUGGCAGAAUGAAUGCUUGAUAUGAAUACUUGUUAAAAGCUUAUUAUAUGCAUGUG